UGCCAGGGGUUGUGACGCUCAAACACAAAAAUCUAUCCACUGAUUUACAGACGUCUCUUUUGCCAUGUAAGUCUAUGG